UAUUUAUGGGUUCGACACACUCCAAAAGAGUUUAUAAAUGGAAAUAGUUACAUGGUAUAACUAAAAUCUACUAGGUAUUUAUCAUCCAUAAUUAAUUAAAAUAAUUACAAUACAUAGUUAAUGCUUGCGUUUUAUAGCAAAUUUAUCAUCCAUACAAUUUUCAGAUCUCUCUCUCCUCCCGCAACCCUAAGAACCAUCUUCUAUCCCAAAACCUCUCUAUCGUCACUAACAGAUUGCCGCUAGACCGUCUCUGCACCGCCAUCGUUGGAAAUUGCUGCCGUUGGCCGACGGUCUCCAAAUGGUCCCAAAUUUUUACAAUCUCUUGCUCGCAUUCUCCUUGAUCUAAGAAAAAUCAAGGAAAAUCAAAAUUUUAUUUCCUAGGUUUGUUGAGUUCCGACCACUUUCAUCCCAUGAAACAUACAUGAAAGGAUAGAUCUCGAAGGGAGAUCUUUUGACAUUAUUUUUAUUCCGAACAUUUGGCGGAAAAUUUUUCGGCGAACCGCUGGUGAAAUGCGAGAAGGUACAUUUAGUGUAAAUAUAAUGUAUUAUUGCAUGUAUUCUCUAUUUUAAAGUAUAUAUAUAUAGUGUAUUUUUAUUUGUCGGGUUUUCUAAUUGUAUUUUUCAAAUUUGGUUGGCUCAGUUCUCAGAGGCGAAGCCAGGAUUUUAAGUUUGUGGGUUCGAGAUUCUAAUCAUAUUAAGUUAAUGGGUUCUACACUAAUAAAUUGUACAUAUUUAAUGAUUUUUUUCAGACAAAUAUAAGGUUUGAACCAAAAUCACUAGGUUCAGCUAAACCCGCAUCAGACUCUCUGGCUCCGCCCUUGUCAGUUCUGAGCGGAUUUGAGCGGAUUUUUCAUUUUAAAUGUAAAUAUAGUAUAUCUUAUUUCUUAUAUUUUAUGUAUUCUGAAGGAGAAUUUUUCCACCAAAUUCC
rnacentral:lncRNA from 1 species